AUUGAGAACACUGCCUCCAAUAAGACAAAACUAAAUAAGCCAAAUGGUGGAAUUUCAAGGCCUAUACACCGUGUCUGGGUUUCACGGGUGUUCAAAACAAGGUACAGUGUAAUGCAGGGAACUUGAAAAGCAGAGCGUUUGACCUCAGCAUCCUGAAAUCAGGUGUGAGAAGAAGAAAACAAGACACCUUGUAAUUAAGACAGAUCCAAGACCAGAUUAAUAAUAAAUAUGGCAGGAAACAUUGGGAAGUGUCACCCUAGAGGCCGAACCAUGGAUUUUAAUAUGUAUCCUUUCAAUUAGCCAUUGACUCUGUGGACAUCCUUUCAUACUUAAUGGAAGCAGCCUAUGUUAAAAUUCAAAUAAAAUCUCAAAUUUAAAAUCA